AGCAGCCGCGGUAAUUCCAGCUCCAAUAGCGUAUAUUAAAGUUGUUGCAGUUAAAAAGCUCGUAGUUGAAUUUCGGGGUUAGUAGGUUGGUCAUGCCUCUGGUAUGUACUGGUCUCACUGAUUCCUCCUUCCUGAUGAGCCGUAAUGCCAUUAAUUUGGUGUUGCGGGGAAUUUGGACUGUUACUUUGAAAAAAUUAGAGUGUUUAAAGCAAGCUAACGCUUGAAUACAUUAGCAUGGAAUAAUGAAAUAGGACGUUCGAUCCUAUUUUGUUGGUUUCUAGGAUUGACGUAAUGAUUAAUAGGGAUAGUUGGGGGCAUUAGUAUUCAAUUGUCAGAGGUGAAAUUCUUGGAUUUAUUGAAGACUAACUACUGCGAAAGCAUUUGCCAAGGAUGUUUUCAUUAAUCAAGAACGAAAGUUAGGGGAUCGAAGACGAUCAGAUACCGUCCGUAGUCUUAACCAUAAACUAUGCCGACUAGGGAUCGGAUGAUGUUAAUUUUUUUAAUGACUCA
rnacentral:rRNA from 1 species